GGUUGUGGUUCAGUGGUAAAGUGCUUGCCUAGCAUGCGACAAGCACUGGGUUCGAUCCCCAGCACCA
rnacentral:tRNA from 1 species